rnacentral:tRNA from 1 species
AGAACUUUAGUAUAUCAUACAUUACAUGACUCUGUCAGGAUCAAAACAUAGAAACUUCUAUAAGUUCUA